CGCUUCAUCGCUCACCAUCGCAAUUUCAAAUCUCCCUCUCGUUCCCGUCGCCGCCGCCGCCGCCGCCGCAAGUAGGUGCGUACGGUCUCGCCGUUCCCCUCCACCGUCGCUGCUGCGAGCUCCUCCGGAUUCCGUCUCCGUUCGCGCGGCCGGCCCGGCCUUGUCCCGGCGCCGGGCCCCGCGCCGGGGGGCUCCGUCGGAGCGCCGGUUGCUCGGGAAAGUCCCGCCGGAAAAAGGACCGAAAUCGGUGUUCAACGCGCUGCAUUUCGCGCUUCUGUUGCCCCUUUUCUGUUUUUGGCUUUCGUUGCGUUUUCGGUUUCCUCGGUGGACAGGCCGAUGUUAGAAGCUGCGCUCCACGCGCGGAGAACCUUCGGUUGUGUUGCGUUGCGUUUGUGCGUGCGCGAUGACGGUGUGGAUGACGGACUUGUCGUGUUGCGAGUCCUGAAAUGUGGGUUGACGAAACUCGUCGGACUGGUCGGGGAAGCGCUGUUGUCUGGAAUUUGGAACACGGACACGAGAACGAGGUUUGAGCGGUUCAGCAUAGUGCCUUGGCGUGCGUGUGACUCCAGCAUCUUGUCUCUUGUUUCUCGGUUUCGAUUUUUUCUUCUCCCAAUUUCUUCUCAUGUAUCUUAGCUGUGUGUUGCUCUGCACUUGCUGGGCUUUAGGAUUCUUUUCUUCCAGCCCCAUUGCGAUGAGGGAAGGAGAAAAUGUGCUGCGUGUUGAUGGUGGAUAUCGUCGAGAGAUCGCCUCGUUUAUUGAAAUACCAAAAAAAACAUUUGUUCUUUUCGAAACAAUAUGGUUUCCGGUUUGCAUGAGGUAACUCUAGUGGUGGACAAGCUUUCGAGCUGUGAUCGGAAUGGUCUAGUGGGAUCUAAUGAUAAUGAGAAUUAGUUGAUGCCAUAUUUAGGUAAAAUCUUAACAAAUUAGUGGAAUUGUUCGUGGAUCUCUUUUGUCAGAUUAUAGUUUCAGAUUUGUUUGUGGUCACCUGGAGGCACUUUUGUUUUUCUACUUGUGGAAACAACUGCAUUAUAUAUCUUCUGCAACUGAACAAGUCUAUGACUUGUUAUAAAUUGAGAGUGGGUUAUAAUAUUUCCUGUUCAGUCAAAUGAGACGAUGAAUAGUGUAGUGAUAUUCUUGGUAAGAUACUGGGGAUUGAUAUUCAUCAUCAAGGAUGAAGUAACUUUGCUUGAUGACAAAGUAUUGAUAUGGACUCAUUAGGAGUGGAUGAGAUGAAGAAGUUCAUUGAGAGUCUUUGAUUAUAAGAUGCUAGAAGGAAUCAGUAUAUGUAAGAAAAUGUUUGUAGGAACAAGAAGGAUGGUUUUACUGACAUAGAAGCAUCCAAGGAAAAUGGUAGAGUUUGAUAGGAGUUUGACAAGAAUGAGGGAGUAUUGUUGAGGUCAAUUUAGAGCAACAUCUUUGAAAUGACAUGCCACAGAGGAUGGGAGAAAUUGGAGGGGACAUUUGUGGAUCUCUUAGAGAAAUUCCUUUAAUUUUCAUAUACCUAAAAAAGAAUGCGGUGCUUAUGAAUAUGAGAAAGUAUUUCUAUAUAUGACCAUUCAGGGGAAAGGAAAGUUGCAAGUAUGGUUUUCUUCUUCUAAAAGCUAUAAUAAACAAAA